rnacentral:rRNA from 1 species
GACGUAGGGCGCGAGCGUUGUCCGGAUUUAUUGGGCGUAAAGAGCUCGUAGGCGGCUUGUCGCGUCGACUGUGAAAACCCGCGGCUCAACCCCGGGCCUGCAUUCGAUACGGGCAGACUAGAGUUCGGUAGGGGAGUCUGGAAUUCCUGGUGUAGCGGUGAAAUGCGCAGAUAUCAGGAGGAACACCGGUGGCGAAGGCGGGACUCUGGGCCGAUACUGACGCUGAGGAGCGAAAGCGUGGGGAGCAAACAGG